GACGAACGCUGGCGGCGUGCUUAACACAUGCAAGUCGAACGGAAAGGCCCUGCCUUUGUCGGGUGCUCGAGUGGCGAACGGGUGAGUAACACGUGAGUAACCUGCCCUUGACUUUGGGAUAACUUCGGGAAACUGGGGCUAAUACCGGAUAGGAGCUCCUGCUGCAUGGUGGGGGUUGGAAAGUUUUGCCGGUUGGGGAUGGACUCGCGGCUUAUCAGCUUGUUGGUGGGGUAGUGGCUUACCAAGGCUUUGACGGGUAGCCGGCCUGAGAGGGUGACCGGCCACAUUGGGACUGAGAUACGGCCCAGACUCCUACGGGAGGCAGCAGUGGGGAAUAUUGCACAAUGGGCGGAAGCCUGAUGCAGCAACGCCGCGUGCGGGAUGACGGCCUUCGGGUUGUAAACCGCUUUCGCCUGUGACGAAGCGUGAGUGACGGUAAUGGGUAAAGAAGCACCGGCUAACUACGUG
rnacentral:rRNA from 1 species